CGGCACGGGUGGGGUAACACGUAUGCAACCUGCCUGCCACAGCCGGAUAAUCGGGAGAAAUUCCGUCUAAUACGGCAUAAUGCAUCGACGGGACAUCCUGUUGGUGCCAAAGGUUAAUUCCGGUGGCGGAUGGGCAUGCGUCGCAUUAGUUAGUUGGCGGUGUAACGGACCACCAAGACGACGAUGCGUAGGGGUUCUGAGAGGAAGGUCCCCCACACUGGUACUGAGACACGGACCAGACUCCUACGGGAGGCAGCAG
rnacentral:rRNA from 1 species